CACUGCCCAGCACCAGGAAGCACUGUGGUAAGAAAAGAAAAGACAACUUCUUGAUGAGCAAACUUCAACCUUCCAACCACCAUAUUCUGUGAUGAAGAGGAUGAAACUUGAAACUGCGUCUGCUGCCUUUACAGAGGGGGAUCCAGAAAGGCAUAUAGAGAGCAUGGCUGGACAGCAGCAGGAUGGUUCCUCUACUUCCACUGCACAGACUGACACAGUGAGAUGGAUGUUCAGGAAACAUCAGAGGUUCAUUCCAUGGAAUUCAUGUGCAACUGUAUAAUUUAAUGUCCUCUAUGUAUUCCCAGUUAUCAGUAAAACAGAUUUACAAACUGCAUUUGCUGAGAAAAAUCCAAAAAACAGAUUAGGAGGGCAGAUCUGGAAAUUGAAAUACUGGAGCACAAGUUAGUGGUGGGCACAUGGUCACAGGUGAAUUAUGUUAACUACUGGAACAUGAACUGAACUAUCUUUUAUUUGUAGGAAAAAAAGAAGACCAAAUGAAAUGUGCAUCAUGUCUUUAUUUGCUGUGGUGGUGAUGAUGGUGACUUAAACUCUAAAGUGAUUAUUGCA